rnacentral:rRNA from 1 species
UUAUUGGAGAGUUUGAUCCUGGCUCAGGACGAACGCUGGCGGCGUGCCUAAUACAUGCAAGUCGAGCGAAUCACUGGGAGCUU